GACGAACGCUGGCGGCGUGCUUAACACAUGCAAGUCGAACGGUGAACCUCUUCGGAGGGUAUCAGUGUCGUACGGGUGAGUAACACGUGGGCAACCUGCCCCCGUCUCUGUGAUAACUCCAAGACAUCGGGGCUCCUACCGUAUGUUCACCGCUUCCCUCAUGGGUCGUGGUGCAAAGGGUUUCCGGCUGGGGAUGGGCCCUCGGCCUAUCAGCUUGUUGGUGUGGUAGUGGCCUACCAAGGCCACGCCGGCUAGCCGGCCUGAGAGGGUAACCGGCCACACGAGGACUGAGACAGGGAGCAGACUGGUACGGGAGGCAGCAGUGGGGAAUAUUGCGCAAUGGGCGGAAGCCUGACGCAGCGACGCCGCGUGGGGGAUGACGGCCUUCGGGGUGUAAACCUCUUUGAGAAGGGACGAAGCGCAAGUGACGGUACCUGCAGAAGAAGCACCGGCCAACUACGUG
rnacentral:rRNA from 1 species